rnacentral:rRNA from 1 species
UACGUAGGGUGCAAGCGUUGUCCGGAUUUACUGGGCGUAAAGCGCUCGCAGGUGGUUCGAUACGUCGUGCGUGAAAGACCCCGGCUCAACUGGGGAGGGUCGUGCGAUACGGUCGGACUGGAGGCCAGUAGGGGGAUGCGGAAUUCCGGGUGUAGUGGUGGAAUGCGUAGAGAUCUGGAGGAACACCAGCGGCGAAGGCGGCAUCCUGGACUGGUCCUGACACUCAUGAGCGAAAGCGUGGGGAGCGAUCCGG